rnacentral:rRNA from 1 species
GACGAACGCUGGCGGCGUGCUUAACACAUGCAAGUCGAACGGAAAGGCCCUGCUUGCAGGGUACUCGAGUGGCGACGGGUGAGUAACACGUGGGUGAUCUGCCCUGCACUUCGGGAUAAGCCUGGGAAACUGGGUCUAAUACCGGAUAGGAGCCAUUUUUAGUGUGAUGGUUGGAAAGUUUUUUCGGUGUAGGAUGAGCUCGCGGCCUAUCAGCUUGUUGGUGGGGUAAUGGCCUACCAAGGCGGCGACGGGUAGCCGGCCUGAGAGGGUGGACGGCCACAUUGGGACUGAGAUACGGCCCAGACUCCUACGGGAGGCAGCAGUGGGGAAUAUUGCACAAUGGGCGCAAGCCUGAUGCAGCGACGCCGCGUGGGGGAUGACGGCCUUCGGGUUGUAAACUCCUUUCGCUAGGGACGAAGCUUUUGUGACGGUACCUAGAUAAGAAGCACCGGCUAACUACGUG